AUUGAACGCUGGCGGUAUGCUUAACACAUGCAAGUCGAACGAUGAGAAAGAGCUUGCUCUUUCGAUUAGUGGCGGACGGGUGCGUAACGCGUAGGAAUCUACCUAUUAGUGGGGGACAACUUAGGGAAACUUAAGCUAAUACCGCAUACGCCCUACGGGGGAAAGAAGGGGAUCGCAAGACCUUUUGCUAAUAGAUGAGCCUGCGUAGGAUUAGCUAGUUGGUGGGGUAAAAGCUCACCAAGGCGACGAUCCUUAACUGGUUUGAGAGAAUGAUCAGUCACACUGGAACUGAGACACGGUCCAGACUCCUACGGGAGGCAGCAGUGGGGAAUAUUGGACAAUGGGCGAAAGCCUGAUCCAGCAAUACCGCGUGUGUGAAGAAGGCCUUAGUGUUGUAAAGCACUUUCAAUUGGAAGGAAAACCUCGAAGCUAUUACCUUCGAGUUUGACAUUACCUUUAGAAGAAGCACCGGCUAACUCCGUGCCAGCAGCCGCGGUAAAAC
rnacentral:rRNA from 1 species